GACGAACUGUCCUAACGUUGUUCGGAAUUACUGGGCGUAAAGGGCGCGUAGGCGGCCUGUUAAGUCGAACGUGAAAUCCCCGGGCUCAACCCGGGAACUGCGUCCGAUACUGGCAGGCUUGAAUCCGGAAGAGGUGAGUGGAAUUCCUGGUGUAGCGGUGAAAUGCGCAGAUAUCAGGGAGGAACACCAAUAGGCGAAGGCAGCUGCAGCUGGGACGGUAUUGACGCUGAGAACGCGGAAAGCGUGGGGAGCAAACAGG
rnacentral:rRNA from 1 species